CUGUUAAUACACGAGACUUAUGUGUAUCCAAUUAGGGCUAUUAAAAGCAAGAACGUUGCGGAUAAUAUUUCCAAAGUUAAUUAAUUGACAUAGUAUCACUUGGAGAAUGCCUCCCCAGAAGCACUCUCAACUAGCCCCUACCAGCUAUGAUUUAUAGCAACUUGGCCUGCUGGUGUGGAAAUUUAAAAAAAAAAAAAAUGAACUGCUGCUACUCUUGUAAGGAUUUUCAAGUCGAAGCCCAAAGGAUGUCUGCGAUUAUUACUCAAAUCACAAGCAACUGACAUUGUCAUGACCUUAGAUGCAGCAGCCCAAGAGCUUUGCUGGUGUACUCUACCUGGUACGUAAAACAAGAAGAGAUGUGAGAGCAUCCAAGCUGCCUGCGCAGGACAAGCCCUGCAUCUGGCAAACACUCCUGAGCCCUCAUUCCUCCUUUGCUUAAGCUGAGGCCAACAAGUGCGUUCAAGGUUAAAAAAAAUAAAAAGCUGUUUGAGAACAUAUGUGCCCGCUGUGUGGGGAGGCCACCAUGCCGUCAGGAGGUGACUCGCCAGGUUACAGAGGUCAGCUACCAAACACCACGCCUGGCUCAGCACCAGUGCCCGGGAGGGGGAUCCGACCGGCCCGGGCACGGUGCCACCCUAACAGAUGGGCACGUGUGCAAGUAUCCGAGCAGUUGAAGGCAGGGUACCUGUUUGGGGAUGCAGCUGCAGGAAAGCUAUGAGCUGAAUUCUGCACUCUCAUUUAUGCCUGCUUAUGGGACGCUUGCAAUGUCAGAGUUCUCCAAAAAUGCUUCCUCUGCACAAGGUCUUCCCAUGGGAGAGGACUGCAGGACAGCAAGAGCCAGGAAACCAGAUAAGACCAUCAAACAUACUUUAUAUAAGCUGUCGAUAACAAUAUUCUGUCACUAAUAACCAAAGCCAGAUUCAUGCCCAUUCGUUUCAAUCACCAUGUCACUUUGAUGAUGCAAAGUUUUCUUCUUUGGCUGUAAUUAAAAAAUAAAACAAUAAAAAAAGGAUGGAAGCUUCUUCAUAAACCAGAUGUAUUUUCAAUAUUUUCAAACUUUUCCUUUUCCAAACAAUAUUAUGGAAAAGAAUAACUAGAAGGUGAAAAUAGCUCCAGGGUUAUCUACAAGUGAAAGCAAAACAGCCAGGAACAUAGACAGUAAAAAUGAUGUGCAUGGCCAGAGACAGAAUUGCAUUUUGGGAAUUGAGACUCACAUGCCACAAAGAUAUUAUCAUAUUUAGGUUUGGGUUCUUCCUUCAGACACUCUUGAACAGUUUCCUAUGAAGUGCAAAGACUAUGCUUGUGUUUGUAUCUGUGGGUAAAAAUAAGAUGUGACUUGAUCCUUAACUUUAUCAUCAUAGACAUUUCUUACUUUAAACUCAUUUUCAAAAAUCUGCAUAUGCAGCUUCAUUACCUGGCAAGAAGAACAUGAUCUUAAAUCCAUGUAUCAUCAGCAUAGGCUCAUGCAAGUGGCUUACCAGCUGGCUGGGUCUGCCCAUCAGUUGUGGAGAAUGUCUAGCCUUCUUUGCAGCACAUGGGCAUCAUGUGGGGCAGCUCAGUCCCCUCCAUCCCAGGAAACUUCAAGGUGAAUGCAUUUUAUAGCAAAAAUAUUGUCUAUAAAAAGCCACUUUAGACCUCAGAUGUUCUGAUUUUCAAGAGCCUCUAAAAUAAAAACAAUAAAAUCCAAAGUCUGAUCCCUUAAUAUAGGUAAUCAGUUACUAAGAGAUUUUCUGUCACAAAAUGCCUUACAAGAUGAAAAAUUCUAGCCUCGUGGCUUUUAAGACAGAAAUAUUCUGUGGCUUCAGGGAAAUGUAGCACAUCCUUAGCAGUUAAAGGCUUAACACUGCACUGCAGACCAGUCUUCUCAAACCAGCUUGGCACAGAUCCCAUCUCCAGGUUCAUGCAAAGCCACAGCAAGAAUUUAGCACUAGAGACAGCCCCGUGCACAGCUGUCUUCUCUUCUCCCAGGCCUCCUCCAGCUGCUGAGAUGUCCUUGCUGCCACGACAGAUGUGCAGCGUGCCCUUCUUUGGCCUCUUUACUUACCCAGCUUCCACGACUGCAUGAUACUACCAUGUUCAGAGGGACAGCAAUAUUGGGAAAGAGUUAAAUGCAGUUGCAGCUGCUUGUAGCAACACUGCAGCUGAAAACUGCAGCACCUCAUGACCAGAGGGCUCCUCUGCAGGUCAGGGAGCCUCCUCACUGAGUACAGCUCGCUGCUACCAGCCUGCGUCCCACCAGGUCCCCCCCAGCCACAUCUGUGUACACAACAGAACAAACAUAAGCUGGGAGCUUCACGGCCUUGUUGGAUUACCAAAUGAAAGCAGCUUUCCGAGGCAUGGUUGUCAUUGCAGAAUGGAUGUUUCAAGGUGCGUAACAGCUUAGAGAGGAAGAGAGCACAGCAAAAUGUGCCUUUAGGUAUCCAGAAGUUAGUUUUUCCAAGAGUAAAUUGUGCUCCCUCUGUAACAGAAUGCAGAGAUGAUGAUCCUUUCGGUCCUCAGAUGGCUGAUGAAGAUGCCUGUGCUGAGGCACUCUCUGGAGGUGUCUCUCAAUGUGCACUCAUGAUGAAUGGUCCCAACUGACUGGUGUGUGCUUAGGCUGCAUCUGAAGAGAGGAGUGGGAGCACCUCCAUGGACCAGGGUCCAGCUCCACAGCUACUUGCAGCAGGUGCGGGCAUCGUGGUACAUUUUGGACAGGUCUCUGACUCAGCUGGCUGGGAGACAAGGAGUCUGCGAGCAUGAGAUCAUGCACCCAUGACUUGGUUAUCUGUAACAUGGGACAUGGCAAAUUCCUCCUCAAGCAUGCAGCUCACACUGACCUAGACUUGCUAAGCCAUCCAAGUGAACCACGCAGGUGACAGAUCACACCCGUGUCCAAAAUCAGCCUCGAUGGCUUCCUGGUGCUUCAUUCAAAGCACCUGAGGCUGCAUAAUGGAAUCAAGACUGUUGUACUGCAUCCUUGAGGACAUCCACCUGAGAACCAGGACCCAAAUAAGCAACCUUUACACUUCAAGUGAGUUCUCCCAAGCACACAGUACCCCUUUGGGCUGGAGAGGUGGAAUACUUGGGUGGCCUCGAGUCCUCCUGAGCAAUCUCUUAACAAACCUUCUGCUUCAAGUACGUGAUGUUAAAAAUAUCAAGCCCCUCAGCAAGUUCCUCUUGUUAAAAGUGGACAAAUGCGUCCUAUUACAUCCCAUUGUAUGGAAUCCCCACCGUGUUUCACCAACAGAGCAGUUGACCAGUGACACCUUCAGGCUGACCAUAAAAUAGUUGAG